AAGAAACAUCUAGACGUGUGCUACAUGCCUAUGGAUAUUAAUGUGGGAGGAAAGUAACUGCAUUCAAGAUUUUGUCUGGUUGAUAAAAGGAGCCAUUAGCUGUGCCUGUUUAAAGCAAGUGAAUUAAACCUCCCGCACAUAAACAAUAUAAAGCUAAACUAUC